CAGAGACCUCAAGCGUUAUCCGGAAUCAUUGGGCGUAAAGCGUACCGAUAGGUGGUUAAGAAAGCCAAAAGUGAAAUCUCCGAGCUCAACUCGGAAUCUGUCUUUUGGAACUUCUCAACUAGAGGGGCAAAGAGGAAGCUGGAACGAACGGUGUAGUAGUGAAAUGCGUUGAUAUCGUUCGGAACACCAAUAGCGUAGGCAGGCUUCUGGGUGCCACCUGACACUGCUAGGACGAAAGCGUGGGGAGCGAAUGGGAUUAGAUACCCCAGUAGUCCACGCUGUAAACGAUGUACAUUCGCCGCUAGGGAGUAUCGACCCUUUUUAGUGGCAAAGCUAACGCGUUAAAUGUACCGCCUGGGGAGUACGGCCGCAAGGCUA
rnacentral:rRNA from 1 species